rnacentral:rRNA from 1 species
GACGAACGCUGGCGGCGUGCUUAACACAUGCAAGUCGAACGGAAAGGCCCUGCUUUUGUGGGGUGCUCGAGUGGCGAACGGGUGAGUAACACGUGAGUAACCUGCCCUUGACUUUGGGAUAACUUCAGGAAACUGGGGCUAAUACCGGAUAGGAGCUCCUGCUGCAUGGUGGGGGUUGGAAAGUUUCGGCGGUUGGGGAUGGACUCGCGGCUUAUCAGCUUGUUGGUGGGGUAGUGGCUUACCAAGGCUUUGACGGGUAGCCGGCCUGAGAGGGUGACCGGCCACAUUGGGACUGAGAUACGGCCCAGACUCCUACGGGAGGCAGCAGUGGGGAAUAUGGCACAAGGGGCGGAAGCCUGAUGCAGCAACGCCGCGUGCGGGAUGACGGCCUUCGGGUUGUAAACCGCUUUCGCCUGUGACGAAGCGUGAGUGACGGUAAUGGGGAAAGAAGCACCGGCUAACUACGU